rnacentral:snRNA from 1 species
GUACUCACUUCGGCGGCACAUAUACUAAAAUUGGAACGAUACGGAGAAGAUUAGCAUGGCCCCUGCGCAAGGAUGACACGCAAAAUCGUGAAGCGUUCCACAUAUUA